rnacentral:rRNA from 1 species
CUUCUUAGCGGAGGGGGGAAAACAAGCGAUCCCGAACCGUUAGCGUACGCGGCAGGCGGCAGCGGAGGGAGUAGACAGCGAGUAGGCAUCGCCCGCUUUGGUUCGGUACACAGGUCGUUUCUACUUGUACUGUUUCACUCUCGUAUAACAAGAACCGGACCUCCAUUCACCCAGUAAAUACGUAGUUCCUGGUGAUCCGUGUUUACCAACGUUCAGAGUUGUAAAAAGCUACUCGUAGUGACAUAAGGUUCUUCUCUGUUGUUUAAUCACUGUAGACAACAAUAACGAUUCUUCAUACGUCGGAACUAUUUUCGUUUAGGUUGUACCUUUAAUCUUUUGAACUUCGUUUGACAAAAUUUCCUGUACAAACGUAUACAGUGAUAACGUGUUACGUUUUCCCGGUUCUUUAAUCACUACCUCUUUAUGUUUCUAUCGUGAUUUCUUCUUAUAAGGAACCAAAAACUGAUGGUUAACCUUAACGACUCUUGAUUGGGUCCAUCGUGACAACGAUAGUUUGACCGUCUACUACACUUCCUACUACUCGUACAAAAACUCUCCAAAAUGUACACGAAACCACGAUAAUUUUUUCCUAAAGAACGACCGACGUCUUUCCAAUAUCCUGAUCUACCAACAAAGAAAUUUCCACAAACGAAACCAGUCGAUGAACAACGAAACCAUUCUCUACGGUUGUUAGUUUACAUGGGACAUCGAACCCGACAUCAGUUUUUUCUUUGUAUGCUCAGGACCAAGACCAAACAACUCUUCAAUUUGUCUCUGGAGUUUUAGUUAUUAGUUCCCCUACCCACCCACAAGUAGAGUCUGGUCGUCUUUCCUAAUUAUCCCCGACAUCUCCUAUAAGAAGGUUUUCGUCUUGUAUCCUACACACGUUCCGUGUAAAUGAGGUUGACCUUCUUUUUUGUAUUACUGUUUCUAAACGUUUUCUCUAAGACCUCUACACGCUUCCGAGGAUUGUCUAGAGACAAGUUGAUAUUGUCUCGUGCUAACCGAGUUAAGUGUCAACUUCCUCGUUUCCUGUACUACUUAUGUCUGGGUUAAGUGAUCUCAUCCCGAAUGUACUUCGACCCUUCGAUGACACUAAGUCAACUGUUAUUAUACACACUCAGUAAGUUAUUGACCUAGUACCUUAGUUCUAUAGAUGGAUAAUAUAGAUACGACCUCACCUAUUCUACGUUUUAAUACCACUUCUAUGUUCUUACGUAAUGGUUCACAAACUUUACCAGUCCUUAGUAUACAGGUUUGUAUAAAUUUUUUGACUUCGUCUUAUAUCGUUCUAGGCCUUUAACAGUACACGAGACCUUACCUUCUCUACCCAAACUCCACAAUCUCUUACUAUUUAUGUUCAUGUGAUACUUAAACGUUUGAUCCCAAACAAGAACAUCUAUAACCAUCGAGAGACCAGAUGGGACGACGGUACGUUAUUCAACGUAGAUGUUCUCGAGUGUUGACAACCUACGUAUGUAUCGACUCACAAUAAGGUAACUCCGAAUGUUCUUUUAAAUGAGAGUACACAACCUCGGUAACCUCCCAGUCAGUUUAACCCGCCAACGACUAGUACACUCCGGUGUUCGUGGACCAAUGUAGUUUUACGGUCCUUCCGGUUCCUUUCUUUCCUUUUCUCUUCUUCCUCUUCGUGGUUUUCCCUAUUUUUACUCGUUCCACCCACCGGUUUAGUGAACGUCAAGUACGUUAUCCUGUCCGGUAUUGUACUUUUCAACGUGUUUAUUACGACGACGUUGAUUCGUAGUACCUUUACGUGUAUAACAGUCUCUUUCCAGAUCCUUUUCCUUUGAUGUCUUUCUUCAGAUACUACGUCUUUGAAGUUUCUUUAGUUUCCAACUUCUUCAACGUUCCGUCUCGUUCCCUUUCCGACAUCGAGUUCUGGAUGUUCACGUACUCACGUCUGCUGGAUAUCCGUAAGUUUAAUCCCUCUGUUUAAGUGUUGGUUCGAGUAACGGACAUAGUGUUGGUUCGAGCGACUUUAUACUAUUCGUACGAGGUCCGUCGUUCCGAUCUAGUCGUUUCCAAGUCUUUUCACGACGAUGAGGUAAACAAGGUGGAUUUGUUCAAUGCUUAAACGGUGUUGUAACACAGAAGUUAAAUCGACGUAUGUUUCUUCGAUUCUUUCCGUCUCGUCCAGGAGGUCAAACUACAGCUCCUCAGUAAAAACACAGUUCUCAGUACAGUACAUUAUAUAUAGAUAUACCUCAGCACAUAAAAGACAUGAUAGUCCGAUGAUACAAGACAUAAUAUUUAAUCCUAACCACAAAGUCUACUAGAAAAGUAUGAUCGUAUGUUGUAGAAACAUAAAAAACAUUAUAAACCAAGUUUACUAGAAAAGUAUGAUCGUACGUUAUAGAAACAUAAAAAACAU